rnacentral:rRNA from 1 species
UACGUAGGGUGCAAGCGUUAAUCGGAAUUACUGGGCGUAAAGCGUGCGCAGGCGGUUUUGUAAGUCUGAUGUGAAAUCCCCGGGCUCAACCUGGGAAUUGCAUUGGAGACUGCAAGGCUAGAAUCUGGCAGAGGGGGGUAGAAUUCCACGUGUAGCAGUGAAAUGCGUAGAGAUGUGGAGGAACACCGAUGGCGAAGGCAGCCCCCUGGGUCAAGAUUGACGCUCAUGCACGAAAGCGUGGGGGGCAAACAGG